rnacentral:rRNA from 1 species
AGAAUCAACGCUGGCGGCGUGCCUAACACAUGCAAGUCGCACGAGAAAGGGUAGCAAUACCUGAGUAAAGUGGCGCACGGGUGAGUAACACGUGAAUGAUCUACCUCCGAGUGGGGAAUAACUGAGAGAAAUCUUAGCUAAUACCGCAUAACACUUACGAGUCAAAGCAGCAAUGCGCUUGGAGAGGAGUUCGCGGCCGAUUAGUUAGUUGGCGGGGUAAUGGCCCACCAAGACGAUGAUCGGUA